rnacentral:RNase_P_RNA from 1 species
GGAGGUAAAAGACCUGUACCCUGAAAAUUACAAAAUGUUGAUAAAAGUAAUUGAAGAUGAGGUCAGAGACUAGGGCCAAAAGUGGCCCUAACAGGGUCCUCCCCGAGUUUUGGGGAGGUGAGUUCCCAGAGAAUGGAGCUCUGUGUGAUGGCAGACUAGGCAGGAGAUGCCAUGGACCCUGCCUUUGGGGAGGGGCCUGGCAGAUGCCUCCUUAGCUGGAGCUUGGAAUAGACUCACUGCCAGUGAAGUGAGCUACCCACCAUGGGGGGGGGCCUUAUAACCCAACUCAGAAUACUCUAACCUGCC